rnacentral:rRNA from 1 species
AGAGUUUGAUCAUGGCUCAGGACGAACGCUGGCGGCGUGCCUAAUACAUGCAAGUAGAACGCUGAAGAGAGGAGCUUGCUCUUCUUGGAUGAGUUGCGAACGGGUGAGUAACGCGUAGGUAACCUGCCUUGUAGCGGGGGAUAACUAUUGGAAACGAUAGCUAAUACCGCAUAACAAUGGAUGACACAUGUCAUUUAUUUGAAAGGGGCAAUUGUUCCACUACAAGAUGGACCUGCGUUGUAUUAGCUAGUAGGUGAGGUAAUGGCUCACCUAGGCGACGAUACAUAGCCGACCUGAGAGGGUGAUCGGCCACACUGGGACUGAGACACGGCCCAGACUCCUACGGGAGGCAGCUGUAGGGAAUCUUCGGCAAUGGGGGCAACCCUGACCGAGCAACGCCGCGUGAGUGAAGAAGGUUUUCGGAUCGUAAAGCUCUGUUGUAAGUCAAGAACGGGUGUGAGAGUGGAAAGUUCACACUGUGACGGUAGCUUACCAGAAAGGGACGGCUAACUACGUGCCAGCAGCCGCGGUAAUACGUAGGUCCCGAGCGUUGUCCGGAUUUAUUGGGCGUAAAGCGAGCGCAGGCGGUUUGAUAAGUCUGAAGUUAAAGGCUGUGGCUCAACCAUAGUUCGCUUUGGAAACUGUCAAACUUGAGUGCAGAAGGGGAGAGUGGAAUUCCAUGUGUAGCGGUGAAAUGCGUAGAUAUAUGGAGGAACACCGGUGGCGAAAGCGGCUCUCUGGUCUGUAACUGACGCUGAGGCUCGAAAGCGUGGGGAGCGAACAGGAUUAGAUACCCUGGUAGUCCACGCCGUAAACGAUGAGUGCUAGGUGUUGGAUCCUUUCCGGGAUUCAGUGCCGCAGCUAACGCAUUAAGCACUCCGCCUGGGGAGUACGACCGCAAGGUUGAAACUCAAAGGAAUUGACGGGGGCCCGCACAAGCGGUGGAGCAUGUGGUUUAAUUCGAAGCAACGCGAAGAACCUUACCAGGUCUUGACAUCCCGAUGCUAUUUCUAGAGAUAGAAAGUUACUUCGGUACAUCGGUGACAGGUGGUGCAUGGUUGUCGUCAGCUCGUGUCGUGAGAUGUUGGGUUAAGUCCCGCAACGAGCGCAACCCCUAUUGUUAGUUGCCAUCAUUCAGUUGGGCACUCUAGCGAGACUGCCGGUAAUAAACCGGAGGAAGGUGGGGAUGACGUCAAAUCAUCAUGCCCCUUAUGACCUGGGCUACACACGUGCUACAAUGGUUGGUACAACGAGUUGCGAGUCGGUGACGGCGAGCUAAUCUCUUAAAGCCAAUCUCAGUUCGGAUUGUAGGCUGCAACUCGCCUACAUGAAGUCGGAAUCGCUAGUAAUCGCGGAUCAGCACGCCGCGGUGAAUACGUUCCCGGGCCUUGUACACACCGCCCGUCACACCACGAGAGUUUGUAACACCCGAAGUCGGUGAGGUAACCUUUUGGAGCCAGCCGCCUAAGGUGGGACAGAUGAUUGGGGUGAAGUCGUAACAAGGUA